GAUGAAGAACGUAGCGAAAUGCGAUAAGUAAUGUGAAUUGCAGAAUUCAGUGAAUCAUCGAAUCUUUGAACGCACAUUGCGCCCCUUGGUAUUCCGAGGGGCAUGCCUGUUCGAGCGUCAUUACACCACUCAAGCAUAGCUUGGUAUUGGGCAACCGCCCCCGCCAGUUCGGGGACGCGCCCCAAAAACCUCGGCGGAGCCUCACCGGCUUUGGGCGUAGUAGAAUUUCUAAUAACGUCCUUUAACGGAGAUGGUUUCAUUGCCGACAGAAAACACCAAUUUUUUUCUAGGUUGACCUCGGAUCAGGUAGGGAUACCCGCUGAACUUAAGCAUAUCAAUAAGCGGAGGA
rnacentral:misc_RNA from 1 species